AAAAUCAAAGGAUUAAGAGCUAGCAAUGCAAGGUAUAGGAACAUUAUUUUUUUUUUUUCCCUUGAAUCCUUCUUUCUUCUGCCGUUGCUCCUCAUCUAAUUGCUGCCCAAUGUAAUGAUGAUUCCUUUGUGUCAUCAUUGCUAUGAAAAGUCUCUCUCUUAUGGCAGAUACAAACACAUCUUACAGCUAUAUCACUUUUCUUGUGUUUUCUUAUCAAGAUUCUCACCAUUAUAUAUGUUAUAUAUUAUAUAUGGCUAUAUAAACCAACCCUUCAAUUCCAUUUCUUAAACCCUCUUCACUCAUAUAAGUUAUAUUUCAUCAACUAUACAUAUACAAAUUCACCCAUGUAGUAUUACUACUAUAGUUAUUAACUACCUUUUCUUUCACAUUGAAGCUUUUUAAUUUGUGAUAUCUUCUUUGAUAGAAUAACACAACAAUAGUAGUGUGUUAUAGAAGAAAAAGAUAUGUGCUAUUCCUCUUCAAAACAUACCCUAAAUGUUCCUCUUGUUUCUUCAUGUUCAUCAAAGACACAACAUCUUCAGUUGAGCUUCCUUAGAAGAAGGAGAGCACAAUUGAAAGAAGCAAGAGAGAGGAGAAAGAUAACUGUGGUGAAGACACAGAUUAAGAUGAGAAACUUGAAACUUUACAAAGAGAACCAAAACUUAUUAAAUGAGAAUGAGAGGUUGAGAAACCAAGCCAUGCUUCUUUACAAAGAGAAUCAAGACCUCUUAUCUAAGCUCCAAAAGAAGCCUUCACAACAAAAUAACAAGAAUAAUUGAUUAAUUAUUAGGUUUUGCCUAAUACAAGUUCAUGUUUAAAGGGUAUUUGUUGUUAUUGCUCUAUUUCUUCUAUUUGAAGCCCAAAAUCUGAUCUCUCAUAUUUUCCCUUUAUUUGUUUCUUUAUUUUAUUUGAGGUUAAAUUAAUUUUUCUUGCAAUAAGUUUUGAGAGUAUAAUUGUAAACCAUUACUUGGUAAUGAGCAAUGCUACAAUUAGUUUUAAUC